rnacentral:misc_RNA from 1 species
GUUGCCGCAGAGGAGGAGCUGAUCGGCAGGGGGUAUUUCGCAGUGGAGCUGGAUGGAGUGCUGGAUGGCCUCGACGAGCGUGUCGCCGCCGCACUGGAACUCCAAGGUGUGGCCGUUCUCCGCCACGUGCACAAUCAGCUUCUGCCCCAGCGGCACCGCCGCCGCCUCCUCCGCACCACCGCCUGUCACCGCCGACCCGGAACUCAUCUUCCUUGCGAUUCCCGACUAGCCACAACUUCACUCCAAAACCGAAUCUUCUUUUUUUUUUUCCCUUCUUUUGCUUCACGCAGUCCAGAUCAAAAUCUACAGUUCUACCAUAUACCACCAAACGAAGCAACCACCGCACGCGCACAGUUCAACACGAAACACCAAACACUUUAACCUCUCCAGCACGACAGCCUCCGUCCGUCGAAGAAGAGCACGAGCCAACAACGUCUGCCGAGGCCUUCUCUCCCACGCCUCCGAUCAGACGCACCGAAUCCUUUUAUCUCCCCCAACAAGAACGGCCUGAAGGGGAGGGGGACUCCGUGGCCGGGACCGACGUCUCCUGGCCCAAUUUACCCUGCUUCACCAAGUCCGCACGGAUUUGGGCGAGAAGUUUGGAAUUUC